GUCUAUGGCCAUGCCACCCUGAACAAGCCAAUGUCUGAUCUCGAAGCUAAGCAGGGUCGGGCCUGGUUAGUACUUGGAUGGGAAGCCACCUAGGAAGACCAGGUGCUGUAGGCA
rnacentral:rRNA from 1 species